GACGAACGCUGGCGGCGCGCUUAACACAUGCAAGUCGAACGGAAAGGCCUGCUUUCCCUUGUGGAUUGCGGGUACUCGAGUGGCGAACGGGUGAGUAACACGUGAGUGAUCUGCCCCCAACUUGGGUAUAAGCCUGGGAAACUGGGUCUAAUUCCCGAUAGGACUGCAGGGUGGUGCCUGUGGUGGAAAACGAUUUUCUAGUGGUUGGGGAUGAGCUCGCGGCCUAUCAGCUUGUUGGUGGGGUAAUGGCCUACCAAGGCGGCGACGGGUAGCCGGACUGAGAGGGUGGACGGCCACAUUGGGACUGGGAUACGGCCCAGACUCCUACGGGAGGCAGCAGUGGGGAAGAUUGCACAAGGGGCGGAAGCCUGAUGCAGCGACGCCGCGUGGGGGAUGACGGCCUUCGGGUUGUAAACUCCUUUCGACCGCGAGGAAGCCACCUGGUUGGAAGGGUGGUGACGGUAGUGGUAGAAGAAGCACCGGCUAACUACGUG
rnacentral:rRNA from 1 species